UGCUGGGGCGGCUCAUAUAUAAAAUUCACCUCCACUUUUCCUUCCUCGGACACAGUUCCAUACAUAAAUCCACCUCUUUUCACAGCAAAAGCAAGCUUCUCGUUAACAUACAGUUGGAAGGCAUUGGCACAAUCCUGAUCGAAUGACACGCAUUCACAAUGAGGAUUUUCUUGUCUGGUAAUUCGCAUUUGUCUGGCAAUUAGGUCGUCCAUGGUCAUUUUGCGGCCGAA
rnacentral:misc_RNA from 1 species